CCUUAUUUCCGGAAUCCUUGGGACGUCUUAUAUACACAAUCUACGCCACGGCCCUACCCCCUCCCAGAAAGGAUAUACAACUCUCGCAUUUAAAUUGGUUCACAGCAAUUGCUUUGUUGUGCACCACCAAAGAUUUUACAGCACAGGUAGCUAAUUUCAACCAGAAAGUGUAUUUUGCUAGGUCAAUUCACAGCAUGGUUUGAUUUGUUGUUGGGCCAAGCGUACAGUACACGUGCCACACUCAUUACAUUAAUUUUACCAGUGGCUUAGCUAGCUGUUGUCAACAUUUCAAUUGUGAGUCUUUCAGUUUCAACUGCAGUGUUGUCAUUUCGAGCUCGCGAGGGACGAGGGUAAACUAGUUUAGAAAAGUAACAGUGGGUCGAUCUCUGCUAAGUAGACAACAGAGCCAGAGAUGGCUAUCGCCCACGUCGCUACAGAGUAUGUGUUCAGCGAUUUCCUCCUGAAGGAGCCGGGUCAGGCAAGGUACCGCGCCGUGCGCACUGAGCUAGCCAUGGACAAGAUGGUGACGUGCGUGGCGGUGGGACUCCCUCUCCUCCUUAUCUCUCUAGCCUUCGCCCAGGAAGUCUCUGUGGGUGUUCAGAUCAGCUGUUUCCCUCCAGCUAACUUUUCCUGGCGUCAGGCCAUGUAUGUAGACUCCUACUGCUGGGCAGCCCUACACACUCACACACUACCCUUAUGGCUACACAAGUUCUUCCCCUAUAUCCUGCUGCUGGUAGCAGUAAUUAUGUAUAGUCCAGCGGUGUUCUGGCGCUUCUCUGCCUCUCCUCUGCUUCAGUCAGACCUUAGCUUCAUCAUAGAAGAGCUCGACCGCUGCUACAACCGUGCUGUCACUCUGGCUAAACGCAUGGCCACUGCUGGGGAACACACAGACAGUGGUGCGUCUGACCCUACUGAGGGCUGUUUCAUGUACCCGGUGGUGGAGCAGUAUCUGCUGACCAAGAGGAGGAGUGUCGUGGUGUUGUGGCGCUACCUGCUGUGUCGAGGCCUCAACCUGCUCACCUUGCUUCUGGCCUGUGUCUACCUGGGCUACUACCUCCGCCUCGCCUCCCUCACUGACCAGUUCGGCUGUUCCCUGCGCACCGGACUCCUGGCCAAUGACACCUCAAUCCCCGACCAAUUACAGUGCAAGCUGGUCGCCGUGGGAGUAUUCACUUUGCUAAGCUUUGUUAACCUGCUGGUGUACGCCAUGCUGGUUCCCGUGGUGAUAUACUCCGCUCUGCGCCCCUUCUUUCAAUCACACACCCAUUUCCUGAAGUCCUACCAAUCACUGCCCACCAUCAGUGUUCUGCCCCUCCCGCAGGGCCAAUGGGAUGACCUGACGCUCUACUUCCUCUUCCUGGAAGAAAACCUCAGUGAGCUCAAGUCCUACAAGUACAUGAAGGUGUUGGAGUUGUUGAGGAGGAGGGGGGUGUGUGAGGGGGAGGACUUUGACGCCAUGGGACUGCUUCAGAUGCUAUGUCUGGUGAAGACUGAUGUCACGGACGGAAAGAGGAGCACCGCAGCUACCUUCAAUGCUAGUGACAAAACUACCAAUGCAAAUGCUAGCCUUGAUGCUAAAGCUAAUGAUAACCCUAUUGCUAAAGUCAGCCAUAUUGCUAAUGCUAACCCUGCUGCUGGGGAGGCUAGUAGCAAGGCCCCAACCCCCAGCCCAGCGUCCCCAGACUCAUGCCAAAGCCAGACCAGUGCCACUGAAAUGACAGAAUUCUCUGCUUUGUUGCCAGGCAACAGUGCAAUGACAGGCGGAAGGCGGAGUGACGAGGGGGCGGUCCGACAGCGAAUUAUCUGAUCGUUGCCAUGAAGGAACAGCCCCAGUGGGUUGUGGGACACUAGAAACCAGAGGUUCUAAUACCCAGAGAUCCAACAAGCCUUUAUCUAAACGACUCAGACUAAGCCGAGACACAACAUCUGACCUAUGUCGUCGCCAGAGAUCGCUUCCCUGUCCUGGGGACACAUGAAGGUGAAGGGCUGCUCCUCUUCCUAUAAGGACUGUAAGGUGUGGCCCGGGGGUAGCCGCGCAUGGGACUGGAGAGAGACUGGGACGGAUCCUGCAGAUCUGGAGGAGGUGCUUCAGAAGGGUGUGGCGACUCUGGUCAUCGGGCGGGGCAUGAGUGAGGCGCUGCAGGUCCCGUCCUCAACUGUGGAAUUCGUGAGACAGAGAGGAGUGGAGCUGAUAGUUCUGCAGACAGAGAAGGC